rnacentral:ncRNA from 1 species
UUCUUAUCCAGAGAGGUGGAGGGACUGGCCCUAUGAAGCCCGGCAACCGAUUUUUUAUAAAACACGGUGCCAAUUCCAACAGAGUAUAUUGCUCUGAAAGAUAAGUA